AUAUUCUUAAUUAGCUAAUGCCUGAAAACACGCUUCCAAGUGAAUAAUUUGUGCAAAAAAACUCAACAAAAAACAUUUUAUGUGAACAUGUCAAAAUAUCACAAAAAAGAAAACAAGGAAGACUAUAGUCUUACUAUCACGAAAAAAAUCGCGCAGAUAUUGGAACGUUUGUAUACCGAAAAUAGGAAUACGUUGCACGGUUCUUAUUUCCGGUUGUGGAACACUGCCGCAUGAGACACGAGUGUAGUGUGGACUCGUUGGCUAAAUCAGAUUGAUUGAAACGGUGGCCAACGUGUGGUACUGGGUACCUACAACGGACACACGGGAGCUGUGCGGUGCGUCGACUGUGACCGUAUCCUUUGAUGUUAUUUAGCUCAGUAUGCUGCCGUGUCUUCACCAGGGACGUCAUAAGUCGAUGUCACUAAUAAUUAGCGAUAUGAAGGACCUAACAUUUCCUGAGUAGCGUCAGAAAAUAUAACCAACGUGAAGGUGAACUCAAACAAUAAACAAGAGAAGACUGGCGUACCGCAACGACGUUAUGACUUUAAAGGUUAUGUUAUCAGGCAACAGAAACCAAUAAAAGCAACACGCGGGUUCGAUUUCACCAGCAACAUCAUCAAGUUUUCCACGGACCAGCAGGUGGGCUAUCAGUGUUUCAUGAACUUCUUCGACCUGAGGGGUCCACAACAGAUCGAGAAGUCCUGAAGGAAGCUAAGGAGCACAGCAGGGACAUCAACGCCAUCCAGACGUCUGUAGACCUCACCAUGUUCACCAGUGCCUCAAAGGACAACACGGCCAAGCUCUUUGACUCUGCCUCUCUGGAUCACAUCAAGACUUUUAAAACCGAGAGACCGGUGAACUCUCUACCACCAUUUCUCCCAUCAGGUGGUUAUGGAAGGUGGACAGGAGGCCAUGGAAGUGACCACAACCUCCACCAGGAUUGGCAGAUUUGAGGCCAGGUUAUUCCUUGCUAUGUAGGAGGUGUUGCGCAGGAGUCAAAGGUCAUGUUGGUCCCAUCAACUGUAUGGCUGAUGGCAAGAG